rnacentral:rRNA from 1 species
CGUACUCAUUCGGAUUNUAGUCUGCAACUCGACUACAUGAAGCUGGAAUCGCUAGUAAUCGCAGAUCAGAAUGCUGCGGUGAAUACGUUCCCGGGUCUUGUACACACCGCCCGUCACACCAUGGGAGCCGGGAAUGCCCGAAGUCGGUGACCCAACCGUAAGGAGGGAGCCGCCGAAGGCAGGCCUGGUAACUGGGGUGAAGUCGUAACAAGGUAUC